GACGAACGCUGGCGGCGUGCCUAAUACAUGCAAGUCGAGCGGACAGAAGGGAGCUUGCUCCCGGAAGUUAGCGGCGGACGGGUGAGUAACACGUGGGCAACCUACCCUGUAGAUCGGGAUAACAUCGAGAAAUCGGUGCUAAUACCGGAUAAUCAUUUGAAGUGCAUGCUUCGAAUGUAAAAGAUGGCUCCGGCUAUCACUACGGGAUGGGCCCGCGGCGCAUUAGCUAGUUGGUAAGGUAAUGGCUUACCAAGGCAACGAUGCGUAGCCGACCUGAGAGGGUGAUCGGCCACGCUGGGACUGGGAAACGGCCCAGACUCCUACGGGAGGCAGCAGUAGGGAAUCUUCCGCAAUGGACGAAAGUCUGACGGAGCAACGCCGCGUGAGUGAUGAAGGUUUUCGGAUCGUAAAGCUCUGUUGUUAGGGAAGAACAAGUGCCGUUUGAAUAAGGCGGCACCUUGACGGUACCUAACCAGAAAGCCACGGCUAACUACGUGCCAGCCGCCGCCGUAAUAC
rnacentral:rRNA from 1 species